UAAGUAAAAUAUUCUAUUUUCUUAUAAAACAAUAUUUAUAGAGUUAUACGUGAAUAAUUUUUAUAGCGUAAAAGCUAAAUAAAUUUAUACAUACUUAAAUACAGUAAGUCAAAAUAUUUAAUUUAAUUUACAAUAACAAGAGGGCCCCCGAAUAAACAAAAGUAAAGAGGACUGUGAACCUACGGUUUGAAAAAAUACAGAUCCAACGGUAGUCCUCGAUGAGAUCAGCUAUCUACAGUCUAUAUUGAAUCUGAAAUGGGUGGAAAGGAGGGUGGUGAGAUUAUAAAAUCCCAAUGAGUAAACAUACAUCAUCAUAAACAUCUAGAGUUGAGUACAUGGAGACAAUAAAGUAAAUCAUUAUAAACUGAGUUAUAGCAUUAGAACACAUUUUGUUCAAAACACGUAAAGAGGCUUAUGAAUCUCAUAAAAAUCUAGGUUUGUACCAUAAAUCCAUUCUCGGGGACACCUUGGCCGAGGCAUCCUACCGAGACCGCCAAGGCUAUUAAAAUUCACAUUUCACAUAAAUCAUGUUUUUGUUUUGAAAACAUAGCCGUUCCUUGACGUUGGUUGAGUUCCCCCUCACGUGGUGGUUUAGCGUGAAGUGAACCCUAAACUUGACCCCAAGAGAUACCCUACACGCCUCUUCGUUCGAGGUAAGAAUAUAAUGGGGUUUACCGUGCCCCUCUAAAAGGCUGGUCCACAGAAACCCCCUACUGCAGUGAUUAAUUAAUAUAUAAUCCACCAUAUAAUAAAACUCAAUAACAUGAUAUGGCAAUUUUGUAAUUCGUAGUUUUUCAAGGUAACCAAACAAUUCGCAUUUCAAUACAAUUGCCAACUAGCCAAUCAUGCUCGAUUUAUCAUAAGCCAGUUAAUUUAAACAAUCAAAUUGCCACAAUUAACAGUCUCCGUGUACUCUAUUUUUCAAAAUCACUAUUAAUUUCAAAACAAUUUAUAAUUUAAUUUCAUUGAAACUCAUUUAUUCAUAAAACAUGAAAAUUUAUCUUUUUAAAUUCCUUUUUCCAUAGAAUUCAUGAAAGCAUCUAAAAACCACCCUAGAUAAUUAAAAUGACAGUAAGUUUACUCACAAUGUCUAGAAUGCAGACUUUCGAAGCACUCUGUCUACUGGUCCUCGGAUGCAAUUUCCUUGCCUUUAUCGGAGGACUCACCACCUUGACACAGUACAAAAUCGAGAGUUUCACCAAGUUGGUACUAAAUCAAAAUUAAACUAAUUUAGACUACCAAUGCAUGAUAUGGAAUGCAAAAAUGCACUGGUAACUAUCUAAACCCGGUAUUGGCCUAAUUCGUCUUAUCACCCGAUUAAAUUCCUAACGGGUCCGUUUAAACUCCAAUUUAAUUCUUUUCAGUUUCUAUACCUCAAUUGCACCCAAAUUAACUUAAUGUCCCUCAGUGUGGUGCAAAUUAUCAGUCCCAACAGCAAAUUACGAAAAUACCCCUAGUGGGUAAAAAUUCGUAUUUUUGCUCCGAAAAUUCCCAUUAUUUUUCUAGGCUCAUAAUUCAUUAUUCCUUAACCAAUUCUCCUAGAAUAAAAUCAAACUCAUCCUCACUCACUACAUGGUAAAUUCAGCCAUUAAUGGUUGGGGGAGAAAAUAAAUUCUUUUCUUGUUGUUUUGUUUCUAAAUAUGCUAAACUAACUAAAAACACUAACAUAAAUUAAAAUCAAAUAAAUCCAACAACUUUCUCUCUCCUAACCCAUUUUUUCAGAAUUGAAUUCAUCAUGAAAACAUGUAAUUUAAUCAUGGAAAAUAAAGAGAAAUGCUUGGGAAUAAGAAAACUCAAGCUUAAUAGAAAAAACUCACCUUUUUCACUUAAUUUCCUUGAAAAUUCACACUUUUUCUUUGAUUUUCUCUCUCUAGGGUUUUGUUUUUGUUUUCUCUCUCUUCUUGCUGGUUUGGCCGGCCAUGGGGUGGAAGAUGGGCUGAUUUUGUGCCUUUUAAAAAGGAAAAUAAUAAAUUAAUAAAGGCAUGACACAUGGCAUCAUGUCAUUGGCCCGUUUUUAAAAUUUUAAAAAUUUAAACAUUUUAUCUCCACCACAUGUUUAGUCAAGGGUCAAAGAUGAAGAAAAGGAAGACCAUGUGCUGGAAAAAAUAUCCUGGUGGUGGAAAAUUACAAUUUUGCCCCUGAGGUGGCAAAAUUACCAUUUUACCCCUAUACUCCAAAUUAUACCGAAAUUAAAAUUUUUCACUUCUAAACCUCAAAUCAUACUUCAAUAAGUCAAAUUAUACUCUAAUAAGUCAAAUGGGGUCAAAAAAAUCUUUUCUAAAAUUCCCAUUUUGUCCCCAGGUGGCAAAUGACCAUUUUGCCCCUAGUUAGUGAAAAUUCCGAUUUGACUCCAAAUUGAUCCUCAAACUCCAAAUUACCAUUUUAAGUCAUCCAUGAACUGUGAAACUCUUAAUCUCACCUUAAAAUUCCUAUUUGAUCUAGUUCGAGGAUUAAAUAAACUUUGUUGUACCUCUAGGUACAAUACCGACUUUUGUAAAUUUUUCGGGACUCUCCUAGCAUGCAAUCAUGCUAUCAUCACAUGUAUGUCAUGAAUAGUAUUUUAUAAGGUCGGGCUUUACAGCACUACCCCCCUUAAAAUAAAAUUUUGACCUCAAAAUUUCACUUACCUGAUUCGAAUAAAAGAUGUGGAUAUUGGUUUCUCAUCUGGCUCUCGACUUCCCACGUCAUCUCCUCCAUUCGAGCAUUCUUCCACAAUACUUUCACCAUUGGAAUGCUCUUGUUCCUUAGCACUCGAUCCUUUCGAUCUAGAAUACGUACAGGCUGCACCUCGAACUUCAAAUCCUCAUGCAACUCAAUGGGAGGUGUCUCUAAAAUGUGAGAGGGAUCGGGAACAUACUUUUUCAACAUCGAGACAUGGAAGACAUUAUGAAUUCGAUCUAACUCUGGGGGUAAUUCAAGUCUGUAAGCCACUGGCCCAAUCCUUUCAAUGAUACGAAAAGGUCCAAUGUAUCUUGGAUUGAGCUUUCCCCUCUUCGCGAAUCGAAUCACACCUUUCAUCAUCCAAUAAAUACCACAAAUUAUCACAAUAGUAUAAUCAAAUAAGAUUUAAUACUUGGAAAUUUCAAAUUAUUACCUUUCCAAGGAGAAACCUUAAGAAAAACUUUAUCGUCGACUUCAAACUCCAAAUCUUUCCUUCGUUUAUCCGAAUAAUUCUUCUGCCUAUCUUGAGCUGUCUUUAAUCGCUCUCGGAUAACUUUGACCUUAUCGUUUGUCAAAUCAAUCAAUUCCACAUUCACCAAUUUCCUCUCACCUACUUCAUCCCAACAGAGCGGAGUUCGGCAUUUCCUUCCAUACAAAGCCUCGUAUGGUGCCAUCCCAAUACUAGACUGAAAACUGUUAUUAUAAGCAAACUCCACCAAUGGCAAGUGUCUGUCCCAACUCCCGAUAAAGUCAAUGACACAAGCCCGUAACAUAUCCUCCAAGGUCUGAAUAGUUCUCUCAGAUUGACCAUCUGUCUGUGGAUGAAAGGCAGUACUAAAUCUCAAUUUAGUUCCAAGAGCUUCCUGAAAUUUCGGCCAAAAUCGAGAAGUAAAUCGAGGGUCUCGAUCUGACACAAUAGAAACUGGGACUCCGUGUAAUCUCACAAUCUCAUCUAUAUAAAGUCUUGCCAGCCUCUCAAUAGAAUACGUGCUAUGGAUAGCCAAGAAAUGGGCGGACUUAGUCAAUCUAUCCACAAUCACCCAAAUAGCAUCCUUCCCACUUUGUGUCCGCGGCAAACCCAAUACAAAGUCCAUAGUCACAUGUUCCCACUUCCAUUCAGGAAUCGGUAAAGGUUGAAGAGUACCUGACGGUUUUUGAUGCUCCGCCUUGAUCUGUUGGCAUGUGAGACAUUUCGCUACAAACUCUGCUAUGUCUCGUUUCAUACCCGGCCACCAAUAACUUUCUUUAAUAGUCCGAUACAUCUUGGUGCUUCCGGGAUGUAAAGCGUAGGCGGAAGAAUGAGCUUCCUCCAAAAUAGCUCGUCUCAAUUGAUCAUCCUUAGGAACACAAAUUCGGUCUCUAAGCAUGAAAGUACCAUCAUCGCUGAGUCUAAACUCACUAGCUUCUCCAUCUUGCAGCUUUUGAACUUCCUGUUUCAACCAAUCAUCAGAUUUCUGCAAUUCUCUGAUCUGAUUCAACAAUGAAGGUCUCACGACGAAACUAGCAAGUAGGGUUCCAUCCUCACCAUUAUUCAACUGGAUCCCUAGAGAUUUCAUCUCAAGUAACAUCGAAAAAUAAGAACUCCGAAGUGUUGCUAACGACGAUGAGGAUUUACGACUUAAAGCAUCCGCUACAACAUUUGCUUUUCCCGGAUGAUAAUCAAUCACUAAGUCAUAAUCCUUAAUCAACUCCAACCAUCGUCUCUGUCUCAAGUUAAGCUCUUUCUGGGUGAGCAAAUACUUCAAACUUUUAUGAUCAGAAAAAAUCCGACAACGCUCACCAUAUAAAUAAUGUCUCCAAAUCUUCAAUGCGAAUACUACUGCUGCUAACUCCAAGUCAUGAGUAGGGUAAUUCGUCUCGUGCUUCUUCAACUGUCGGGAAGCAUAAGCUAUUACUUUCUCGUCCUGCAUCAACACACACCCUAAUCCCAACUUAGAUGCAUCGCUAUAUACCACAAAUUCUUUUCCACUAACAGGAAGUGUUAAAACGGGAGCGGAGGUUAACCGGUUCUUUAGCUCCUGAAAUCGAUUCUCACAAACAUCAUCCCACUCAUACUUAACUCCUUUACGAGUCAAACGAGUCAGAGGAGCUGCUAUCAAAGAAAAUCCCUGAACAAAUCUCCGGUAAUAACCGGCUAAGCCAAGGAAACUACGAAUCUCAGUUACCGUUCUCGGUUGCUCCCAUUGCAAGAUUGCCUCAAUCUUCUUGGGAUCGACAUAAAUUCCAGCUCCGGACACCACAUGUCCCAAGAAAACCACUUCCUUCAACCAGAAUUCACAUUUAGAGAACUUGGCAUAGAGUUGUCUCUCGCGCAAAGUUUGCAACACAAUGCGCAAAUGGGCAGCAUGUUCAUCAUCAUUCUUCGAAUAAACCAGGAUGUCAUCGAUGAAUACUAUCACAAACUUAUCCAAGUAUGGAUGGAACACCCUGUUCAUAAGAUCCAUAAAAACUGCCGGGGCAUUAGUCAAACCAAACGGCAUCACCAGAAACUCAUAAUGCCCAUAACGCGUCCUGAAGGCAGUCUUAGGUACAUCCUGCUCCUUAAUCCUCAACUGAUAGUACCCAGAUCUCAAAUCAAUCUUAGAGAAUACCAUAGCACCUCGUAAUUGAUCAAAAAGAUCAUCUAUCCGGGGUAAAGGGUAUUUAUUCUUGAUGGUCACUCGGUUCAACUGACGGUAAUCAAUACACAAUCGAAGAGUGCCAUCUUUCUUCUUUACAAAUAGGACUGGUGCUCCCCAAGGAGAAAUGCUAGGGCGAAUGAAACCUUUAUCCACCAAAUCUUGCAACUGGGCUUUCAGUUCCUUCAACUCUGCUGGAGCCAUUCUAUAUGGAGGAAUAGAAAUAGGUGCGGUACCCGGAAGUAAAUCAAUAGGGAACUCAAGCUCUCGAUUAGGAGGUAUUCCCGGUAAAUCAUCAGGAAAUACAUCAGGAAACUCACUUACUAUUGGGACAUCCUCUAACUUAGGUUCCCCCUUUGAAGUAUCGAUCACGUAUGCCAAAUAAGUCGGAUACCCUUUUUGCACUAAUUUUGAAGCUUUGAUGGCCGAGAUUACACAAGAUGGUAAUACUCGACGUUCCCCUACAAACACAAUCUCUGCUCCCUCCGAAUUCCGAAGAACAACUUCUUUUCGGAAACAAUCCACGUUCGCCCGAUGUGCAGUUAACCAGUCCAUACCUAAUAUUAAAUCAAAAUCCAAGAUCUCUAGAGGAAUUAAGUCACCCCUAAAUUCUUCCUCACCUACCCUUACCCCACAGUCUCUAUAACAAGUAUUUCUAAUCAACUGUUCUCCUAGAGGGGUAUGCACUACAAUUUCUUCCUCUAAUGGUGACAGGUUUCUAUCAGUAAUUGAUGCAAAUGUCGUACUCACAUAAGAUCUAUCUGAGCCAGAAUCUAUCAAAACAUAAGCAUCUUUAUCAAAUAAAGACAUAGUACCUGUCACUGCUCCAGGUCGGACUCGUGCCUCAUCUUCUGUCACAGCAAAAACUCUUGUCGCGGUACGAGUCUGUGGUCUCGAAGGUGGAUGUGACGGGGUAUUACUCUCCACACCAGACCGUAUGGCUACUCCCUGUCUCUGUGGUAACCCAGAAGAAUCUCUCCUCUGUAUAUCUGUGCGAGCUGGUGGAGAUGAUGCAGCUACAGUGGCUCGUCCUAACUGUGGGCAAUUACUCCUAAUGUGACCCGUCUGUCCACAUUGGAAACAUCUUGUUGGCCCUCUACAUAGCCCACUAUGAUAAUUCCCACAAUUUCUGCAUCUGUCAAAACCUCCGAGACUCUUCCCAGAACCAGUCAUAGCAGAUCUGCUAAACCUCGAAGGUCUCUGCUGUGAUGGUGGAAAUGGAGGUCGAGGAGAUGUCACGGAAACAGAAGUAGUGCUCCCUGAAGUCGCUGAGUCCUUGCCUCUUUUUACUGGCUGACUAGAAGACAUACCAGGAUUCCUCCUUUUUGCAAACUCAGUCCGAAUCCUUCUAUUCUCAGUCGCGAGCUUCUCAGCCCGUAAAGCCAUCUGUACCACCUCCUUAUGUGGCUCCCUACCAAUCACUGUCAUUCGCUCUCUGAUCUCAUUACGGAGCCCUUCCUCGAAAUAGCUGGCCUGAUCCUGCUCAGAUUUCACCAGAUCCGGCACAUAUAACAUCAACUCGUUAAAACGAGUCUCGUACUCCUCUACAGUUAGAUUUCCCUGUUUCAAACUCAGAAAUUCUCUCUUCUUUUCUUUUUGAUGGAAAUAAGUGAAAUACUGACCAUCGAAUUCCCUGAGAAAAUCGGACCAUGUCUGAGGAGUAGCGGAACGGGACUUCACCGAAUUCCACCAAGUACGAGCCCUCUUCUCUAAUAAUCUCGUAGCCACCAUCAGCUUCAUGUCAUCAUCUAAUCCCAUAUCAGAGAGAGUCUCGGACACCUGAUUAAUCCAGUCCUUUGCCACAGUGGCAUCCAACUCACCAGUGAAAGAUACACAACCCAAUUGCCUAGCCUCCUUCAGCUUCUUGGAAAUGGAUACAUCCUGUAUUGGUGGUGGAACUAAAGGAGUAGCUGGAGGCACUACAGGUGGAACUUGACCAGUCUGAGCUUGACCAGCCAUUGCUGCAAAGAAAGCUGCCAAUGCCUGUGCUGCCUCAGUAGGCAUGGCGGGAAUACCAGUAGGUGGCUGAGGAGAUGGAGGAUGUGGAGGACUAUCGGCCUGCUCAGCAGCAGGUGCUGCCCGAAUGGUAGAUGCAGCUGAUUCCUCCUCUACUGUAUCUGGCUGAUGACGUUGGGAACGACCUCUUCCCCUCCCAACCGAUCUAGUGAGAGGUGGGCGUCCGCGUCGAGGAGGCAUUAUAAUAUAUAUAAAAAAAAUACGAGCAAGUUUAGGUAACCUUAGGCUCUAUAUGCAAAUGCAUGCAUUCUAUUCAACCUAACCUAACUUAACUUAAUCCGGGGCCACACUGAUAUUGUAAAUAUUUAAAACAACUUUAAAACUAAAAACUUUGAUCUUGAAAACCAAAAGCUCUGAUACCAAUCGAAUUGUCACGACCCGGUACUCCCCUCGAGCCCGUGACAACCGCCGCGGUGUCCCGGUAGACACUUAUUGCCCGGAAUGUCAACCCGAAACCCCGCAAGGCUUUACUAUCAGUUUCUCUGUUCCCUUGUGAGCAACCAUUGUCAAAUAUCGUGUUCUAAAAUAUUUUAAGCUGUUUCCAACUUUAAACAAAUAAAAUAUUAAUUUUUCGUCUCACAAGGGUAUUUUGGUCAUUUUUCUCAAAAAUUUUAAAACUGGCUAAAACGUAAUAUACAAGUACAAAACACACAAUUCAUAUUCAAAAUGAGUUUAAAAGUCUAAAAUCUUCAUUUAAAACGAAAUUAUGGUUAUUUGAAUAUAAUAAGAAAAUAAAAGAAAUAUUAAGUAAAAUAUUCUAUUUUCUUAUAAAACAAUAUUUAUAGAGUUAUACGUGAAUAAUUUUUAUAACGUAAAAGCUAAAUAAAUUUAUACAUACUUAAAUACAGUAAGCCAAAAUAUUUAAUUUAAUUUACAAUAACAAGAGUGCCCCCGAAUAAACAAAAGUAAAGAGGACUGUGAACCUACGGUUUGGAAAAUGCAGAUCCCACUGUAGUCCUCGAUGAGAUCAGCUAUCUACAGUCUAUACUGAAC
rnacentral:lncRNA from 1 species